rnacentral:rRNA from 1 species
CUGAGAGGUGGUGCAUGGCCGUCGUCAGUUCGUACUGUGAAGCAUCCUGUUAAGUCAGGCAACGAGCGAGACCCACGUCCACAGUUGCCAGCAUACCCUCCCGGGGUGAUGGGUACACUGUGGAGACCGCCGCUGCUAAAGCGGAGGAAGGAGUGGGCAACGGUAGGUCAGUAUGCCUCGAAUCUCCCGGGCUACACGCGGGCUACAAUGGUUGGUACAAUGGGCAUCUACCCCGAAAGGGGAAGGAAAUCUCUUAAAGCCAAUCGUAGUUCGGAUUGAGGGCUGCAACUCGCCCUCAUGAAGCUGGAAUCCGUAGUAAUCGCGUUUCAACAGAACGCGGUGAAUACGUCCCUGCUCCUU